rnacentral:rRNA from 1 species
GCAAGUCGAGCGGAAACGACACUAACAAUCCUUCGGGUGCGUUAAUGGGCGUCGAGCGGCGGACGGGUGAGUAAUGCCUAGGAAAUUGCCUUGAUGUGGGGGAUAACCAUUGGAAACGAUGGCUAAUACCGCAUAAUGCCUACGGGCCAAAGAGGGGGACCUUUGGGCCUCUCGCGUCAAGAUAUGCCUAGGUGGGAUUAGCUAGUUGGUGAGGUAAUGGCUCACCUAGGCAACGAUCCCUAGCUGGUCUGAGAGGAUGAUC